AUUGAACGCUGGCGGCAGGCUUAACACAUGCAAGUCGAGCGGUAGCACAGGGGAGCUUGCUCCCUGGGUGACGAGCGGCGGACGGGUGAGUAAUGUCUGGGAAACUGCCUGAUGGAGGGGGAUAACUACUGGAAACGGUAGCUAAUACCGCAUAACGUCGCAAGACCAAAGAGGGGGACCUUCGGGCCUCUUGCCAUCAGAUGUGCCCAGAUGGGAUUAGCUAGUAGGUGGGGUAAUGGCUCACCUAGGCGACGAUCCCUAGCUGGUCUGAGAGGAUGACCAGCCACACUGGAACUGAGACACGGUCCAGACUCCUACGGGAGGCAGCAGUGGGGAAUAUUGCACAAUGGGCGCAAGCCUGAUGCAGCCAUGCCGCGUGUGUGAAGAAGGCCUUCGGGUUGUAAAGCACUUUCAGCGGGGAGGAAGGUGGUGAGCUUAAUACGUUCAUCAAUUGACGUUACUCGCAGAAGAAGCACCGGCUAACUCCGUG
rnacentral:rRNA from 1 species